rnacentral:RNase_P_RNA from 1 species
CGAGCCGGGCGGGCGGCCGCGUGGAGUCCCUUGCGGGACUUCCCGAGGAACGUCCGGGCUCCACAGGGCAGGGUGAUGGCUAACGGCCACCCGGGGUGACCCGCGGGACAGUGCCACAGAAAGCAGACCGCCCGGCGCUUCGGCGCCGGGUAAGGGUGAAACGGUGGUGUAAGAGACCACCAGUGCCCAGGGCGACCUGGGCAGCUAGGUAAACCCCACCCGGAGCAAGGUCAAAAGGAGACACCCCGGUGUCUCUGCGCGGACGUACGAGGGCUGCCCGCCCGAGUCCGCGGGUAGACCGCACGAGACCGGUGGCAACGCCGGUCCUAGAUGGAUGGCCGUCGCCGGCGGGCCCGCGAGGACCCACCGGAACAGAACCCGGCGUACAGCCCGACUCGUCUG